rnacentral:lncRNA from 12 species
GGGAAAGAUUGAUUCUAGAUUGAUCUAGAAAUCUCCCUGAUUUCAUGUGUGCAGUUCCCCUUUUCACCCUGAUCCAUCUCUUGCAGCAGCCAGGAUCUGCCUCAUUCCUCCCCUUGAAACUGCUCCAGCCCUAAUCAUCAUGUCAUCACAGAGCAGAGAGCAUCUGCACAGGACCGUCACCACUGAAGUGCGACCCCUGCAAACACUAAGAACUACCAGCAGCUGUGCGUCGACCGGCGCCCUGUGCCGCUCGCAUAACGAAUGCCCACAGCAUCCUUCCCUCGCCCCUCCCGGCACAAUUAAAAGGGGGGGGGGGGGGGGGGGGGGGGGGGGGGGGGGGGGGGGGGGG